AAAAACUUACUCAUUCUCAGAUUGCAUUGUGGAAUAUGCAUCCAUUAUUCAAAGAAAGGGCGACAUUCCAAGCACUCACACUUUCUCUCCUUGCUAGCUAAAUUAGCUGACAAGUUAAAGAAGUCAGUGGAAGAUGAAAUUCAUUUUCUCAAGGGAAGGGUUUCAGAACUUGAAAGUGAUCUUGUGUCAAAGUCCACAGAAGUUACAUCCGCAGUUUCAAGGAAAGAAGAAGCUCUAUCUUCUGCAUUUGCUGAAAUUGACCGUCUGAAGGAAGAAAAUUCUGUAAAAACGUGAGCAUUAUUGAAUGCAUAUGGAGGGUGUUUACUGUGUUGGAGUGUAUUUGUUUCUUACACAUGAGGGCACGCCUUAGUUGUAAUUGUUAUGAUAAGUUGAGCAAAGUGAAGUAUUAUUUAUUUAGAAAUGUAAAUGUAGGAUGCAUCGUAUGAUUUGAUUGCUAUUUGUAAUAAAUGCAUCAUUUUUUUUUCUGAUUGCA